CAGCCACAUCAAAUUGAAAUACUGGUUCCCGUACGACCACCGGAGUUAAACAACUUUGAGCCUGUUCAGUACCGAGAUGGGUGACCGCUUCGGAAUACAAGAUACUGUAAG